rnacentral:rRNA from 1 species
UAGGGAAUCUUCGGCAAUGGGGGCAACCCUGACCGAGCAACGCCGCGUGAGUGAAGAAGGUUUUCGGGUCGUAAAGCUCUGUUGUAAGUCAAGAACGAGUGUGAGAGUGGAAAGUUCACACUGUGACGGUAGCUUACCAGAAAGGGACGGCUAACUACGUGCCAGCAGCCGCGGUAAUACGUAGGUCCCGAGCGUUGUCCGGAUUUAUUGGGCGUAAAGCGAGCGCAGGCGGUUUGAUAAGUCUGAAGUUAAAGGCUGUGGCUCAACCGUAGUUCGCUUUGGAAACUGUCAAACUUGAGUGCAGAAGGGGAGAGUGGAAUUCCAUGUGUAGCGGUGAAAUGCGUAGAUAUAUGAAGGAACACCGGUGGCGAAAGCGGCUCUCUGGUCUGUAACUGACGCUGAGGCUCGAAAGCGUGGGGAGCGAACAGGAUUAGAUACCCUGGUAGUCCACGCCGUAAACGAUGAGUGCUAGGUGUUGGAUCCUUUCCGGGAUUCAGUGCCGCAGCUAACGCAUUAAGCACUCCGCCUGGGGAGUACGACCGCAAGGUUG